rnacentral:rRNA from 1 species
GUUGGGAGCUCUCCCNUAUGGUCGACCUGCAGGCGGCCGCGAAUUCACUAGUGAUUAGAGUUUGAUCCUGGCUCAGAUUGAACGCUGGCGGCGUGCUUAACACAUGCAAGUCGAACGUGAAAGUCCUUCGGGGCGAGUAAAGUGGCGCACGGGUGAGUAACGCGUGGAUAAUCUACCCUUAAGAUGGGGAUAACGGCUGGAAACGGUCGCUAAUACCGAAUACGCUCCCGAUUUUAUCAUUGGGGGGAAAGAUGGCCUCUGCUUGCAAGCUAUCGCUUAAGGAUGAGUCCGCGUCCCAUUAGCUAGUUGGCGGGGUAACGGCCCACCAAGGCAACGAUGGGUAGCCGGUCUGAGAGGAUGACCGGCCACACUGGAACUGGAACACGGUCCAGACUCCUACGGGAGGCAGCAGUGGGGAAUAUUGCGCAAUGGGCGAAAGCCUGACGCAGCGACGCCGCGUGAGGGAUGAAGGUUCUCNNAUCGUAAACCUCUGUCAGGGGGGAANAANC